AAAGCACACAGAGAAGAAAAAGUAUUGAACACAUGAAGAAAGGGGGGGUGCAAAAAGUCAUGGAAAGCCAAGGCACCAGCUGAAAUUUAUCAAUAAUUAGUAAACAAUCCUGCCCCUUGUCAGUGUAAAUUAAUAUCAGCUGGUUCAGUCCCAACUGAUGGCC